rnacentral:rRNA from 1 species
ACCGGCAGCUCAAGUGGUGGCCAUUAUUAUUGGGUCUAAAGGGUCCGUAGCCAGUUUGAUAAGUCUCUGGGGAAAUCCCGCAGUUCAACUGUGGGACUUGCUGGAGAUACUAUCAGACUUGAGGUCGGGAGAGGUUAGGGGUACUCCAAGGGUAGGGGUGAAAUCCUAUAAUCCUGGGAGGACCACCUGUGGCGAAGGCGCCUAACUGGAACGAACCUGACGGUAAGUAACGAAAGCCAGGGGCGCGAACCG